GAUGAACGCUGGCGGCGUGCCUAACACAUGCAAGUCGAGCGAACGGACGAGAAGCUUGCUUUUCUGAUGUUAGCGGCGGACGGGUGAGUAACACGUGGAUAACCUACCUUUAAGACUGGGAUAACUUCGGGAAACCGGAGCUAAUACCGGAUAAUAUUUUGAACCGCAUGGUUCAAAAGUGAAAGACUGUCUUGCUGUCACUUAUAGAUGGAUCCGCGCUGCAUUAGCUAGUUGGUAAGGUAACGGCUUACCAAGGCAACGAUGCAUAGCCGACCUGAGAGGGUGAUCGGCGACACUGGAGCUGGACCACGGUCCAGACUCCUACGGGAGGCAGCAGUAGGGAAUCUUCCGCAAUGGGCGAAAGCCUGACGGAGCGACGCCGCGUGAGUGAUGGAGGUCUUCGGAUCGUAAAACUCGGUUAUGAGGGAAGAACAUAUGUGUGAGUAACUGUGCACAUCUUGACGGUACCUAAUCAGAAAGCCACGGCUAACUACGUG
rnacentral:rRNA from 1 species